ensembl:lncRNA
GAAAUCACUCUUUUAAAUUGUUUCUUUAUUUGGAACCCCAGAGAAUUUUACACACCAAGGCAACAUACCAAAAUAAGAUUUAGGAUGGGCGGGAGAUAAGUCCUUUGUAUAGUCCAGGCUGAAUUAUCCUGUAGGAACAAGUAACCUCAAAAUCUCAGUUCCUUGAACCAGCAAAGGUUCUCUUCUCCUCCACCCCAACCCCCAACUCACGAUACAUGUCCAUCGCAGGCCAGUUGGAGGUUCUGAUUCGUGCCAUCCUCACUCAGGCAUCCAGACUCCACCAUCUGAAAUGUCAUCGGUCACCAGGGCAGAGAGAAGGAGCAAGUCACACGGGCAAUACCUAACUUCUAAAAGGUGGGGAAGGACCUGGAAGGAGGAGAACUGGAAAGCAGGUGAAUGGCACCAGGACCACCAGACCUUCCUUCUGUGAAGUGGGAGUCAAGCAUCGUGGAAAGGAAGCGAGGAGAGGCCUUCUCAGGUGUGGAACAGUACUUCUUCACGGUGUUUUCCAGAGACGGAUCCCCUUCAACACAACCCUGCCGCCUGCCCUUAGAAAAGGCUUUCUGUAUCUCUAGGGGUACAGAUGCCCAAGCCUGAAGACCACUGCUGCCCUGGCAAAGCUCCCCUACCUUUUAGGUGCAGGGACCUCUCUCUGAGCUCCUUCUGUUCUGGAACAGCUGUUUGGAAGCUUCUAGGAAUGAGUUACCUUUGAUCCAUGUGUAUCAUGUUUUCCUAACAAGCUGUAGUCUCUCAGGAUGGGAAUGAUAUCUUCAAGUUUUUAUAUCCCUUAGGUUACCUCACAAGGAUGCUCAGAAAAUAUGAGUUCUGCUUGUUGGUUGAAUUGGUCACUUUCUCUGUAUGCUUCAGUCUCCUCAUCUGUGAAACUGGAAUUGCAAGGCUUGCCCUUAUGAUUACAAUUAAGAUGACAGGAAAUCUCUGUCCACUCUCCUUUAUUUAACAAGGAUCAGCAUCUUGACACUGCACAUCUGAAAAGCUGUAUGUGAUGAUGAGCCACUGAGGGCUCUUGAGAAGCUCUGGGGAAAGCAGGUUUGGGCAGAUCAAUUUGACAUCAGUGAUUGACUGGUGGUUGGGGUACAUGGGAAACAGUUUGGGUCAAGGGCUAAGGGCAGGAGGUCCAGGUGGAAUGCUUCCCCAGUGAUACAGAGGUGAGGCAAUGGCACCCACUGGGAGGUGAGGCAGGGAAUGGCGAGCCACACUGCAUCCUCAGGAACGACCACAGAUGCCUUCCUGAACACCUACAUCUGGAUUCAAGACGGAUCUGCAACCUUGGCAGAAAUCCUCACUCCUGGCCAAAACCAAUUGUUUCCUGCACCCUGCCUCUGCCCCCUGGUGGCCUCUGGAGACAUUGCAGAUAGAGUGUCAAAACAAAGCUGAAUGCUUCUAGUUCCCCACAGGGAGACUGGAGAUUGACGUGGUACAGGGAAAGAUGACCCAAGUUGCUUCUGUAGUUAAAAAAAAAAAAAAGAAAGAAAAAAAUGGAACAAGGGACGGAUAGGAAGGGGCCUCAGAAACCUGGGUAACUGAGAACUUGGGGGCAGUUCACAAAGUGAAAACCAGAAGCAACCUUCGAUUUGCCAACCGACAGCAUAUGGACCUUGGUUUAGCCUGCAAAACAAUUUUAAAUUUUGGAUAGUUGCCAACACCUGGAAUCGUGAAUUUUCACAUUAAAAUCUUAAUGUCCAGUUUCUCUUGAAAAAUCAAAACAUCAGGUCACAUGGGGCCUCCACCCGGCUGAGGAGAAGCCCAGGCCCCUUUAGUGC